CUAGUACUCCCUCCGUCCCAAAAUUCUUGUCUUAAGUUUGCUUAGAAAUGGAUGUAUCUAAAUACUAAAACGUGACUAGAUACAUCUGUAUCUAGACAAAUCUAANNNNNNAAUUUUGGGACGGAGGGAGUAGUAC
rfam:Hordeum vulgare subsp. vulgare, WGS project CAJW01000000 data, contig: morex_contig_43929